UACGUAGGGCGCAAGCGUUGUCCGGAAUUAUUGGGCGUAAAGAGCUCGUAGGCGGCUUGUCACGUCGGAUGUGAAAGCCCGGGGCUUAACCCCGGGUCUGCAUUCGAUACGGGCAGGCUAGAGUGUGGUAGGGGAGAUCGGAAUUCCUGGUGUAGCGGUGAAAUGCGCAGAUAUCAGGAGGAACACCGGUGGCGAAGGCGGAUCUCUGGGCCUUACCUGACGCUCAGGCGCGAAAAGCUAGGGGGAGCGAACAGG
rnacentral:rRNA from 1 species